GGUAAGAUGAUUCCUAGUGGUCUAGGGUGCAGGCUUCAAACCUGUAGCUAUCCAGCAACAGAGUGGCUCAAUUCCACCUUCCA